UGGGGGAAUUUUGGACAAUGGGCGAAAGCCUGAUCCAGCAAUGCCGCGUGCGUGAAGAAGGCCUUCGGGUUGUAAAGCACUUUUGUCCGGAAAGAAAUCCUUGGCUCUAAUACAGUCGGGGGAUGACGGUACCGGAAGAAUAAGCACCGGCUAACUACGUGCCAGCAGCCGCGGUAAUACGUAGGGUGCAAGCGUUAAUCGGAAUUACUGGGCGUAAAGCGUGCGCAGGCGGUUUGCUAAGACCGAUGUGAAAUCCCCGGGCUCAACCUGGGAACUGCAUUGGUGACUGGCAGGCUAGAGUAUGGCAGAGGGGGGUAGAAUUCCACGUGUAGCAGUGAAAUGCGUAGAGAUGUGGAGGAAUACCGAUGGCGAAGGCAGCCCCCUGGGCCAAUACUGACGCUCAUGCACGAAAGCGUGGGGAGCAAACAGGAUUAGAUACCCUGGUAGUCCACGCCCUAAACGAUGUCAACUAGUUGUUGGGGAUUCAUUUCCUUAGUAACGUAGCUAACGCGUGAAGUUGACCGCCUGGGGAGUACGGUCGCAAGAUUAAAACUCAAAGGAAUUGACGGGGUCAUAGCUGUUUCCU
rnacentral:rRNA from 1 species